GAGACGUUAGUAAACCAACCCAAUUACAUAGCCUUGUCAAGGCUAAAUCACAGGUGAAAACCCUGUACAUCUCG
rnacentral:tRNA from 1 species